UCAAGGUUGUCUGAUCCCAAGUCUCGAAGCCACUGACUCCAGCAUUUCACAAGUUUAGGUAACCUUUACACAAAUGGAGAUAGACGGCAAUUUUUUUUUGCUUUUAGAGAAUAAAAAACAACUUCGCGAAGACGCAACAACAAGAUACAGCGCAAACAUUCUUAAUUAAUUAAUGUGUCAGCAAUUUGUGAGGCCAGAGAAACGAGUGGGCGGACUGGGGAUUAAAACCUAUUGGCAUUUCUCACUAGAACUGAAACUGGAAACGAAUCCUCAAUCGUAACUGCAGUUGCAAAGUUUACUAUUAUUUGCUUUUAUUCCGAUCGAGGAAUGUGAAUUUAUUGUUCAAAGGUCAGCUUUAUGGCUGGUGUCGUUUAAGUAACGAAAUUUCCAUAAUGAGCUUUAUUCAACGAAAUGUGAUCUUUAGAACUGAAAGAAUUUAACACUGCGAUAGGUAAACAAAGUUUACCUGAUAAAAAAACAUGAUAAAACACUUUCAAUCAAAAACAGGGUAAUCGGAUUUUAAAUGCCAGUUCCACAACAAAAAUGGUUCACUUUUUACCCCUCAAUAAUGCAGUUACUUUCCUGGAAUAAAAUGGAAUUCAAGCACAUUUCUAAAUAAUAAAACAUCACAAAUUCUCGGAAAAAGAGGCGCGCGCCGUUUAGUAUUAGCUUGAUUCCAGUUAACACGUCAGUUUUAUUUGAUUGGCUUUAACAGGGUUCCAGUCUUAACCGCAAAACAGGUCACCAGAAUAUGACGUUGAUUUGACGUAAGCACCUGGGAACUGCGAUCAAACAUGAGUAAGAUCCCCCCGGAGACCUGUUUGGGCUUUAAUGGGUCUGCUGGGAUAAACCCAAUUUCAUUGAUGUUCUGGCUUGGGCGAAUGCGCUCUUAAUUAUUUAUAAACAAAUCGGAAUUUUGUAAUCGAACAGCACAAGAUUAUUUAUAGGC